AACAAAUUAACCUUUCCUUCUCUCUCUCUCUCUCUCUCUCUCUCUCUCUCUGUGGUAGAGUAAAAGCCGGCUGAAUCUUUCAUGCGAAACUGUUUUCAAUGUUGCAAAUUACUUUGUUCGCUUCCUCUCUGUCGAUCAUUGCAGAAGAUGGAAAAAUUGGAUGGUUGAGUUAGUGGCUGUUGCAUGCUUAUCUGUAGCCUCCAAGUUUGAUGGAAGAUCUGGACCAUUCCUUUCAGUCUAGCUUGAUCCAGUGGAUAGAAUUGACACUUCUCAAGGCGUUAGGGUGGCGAUUUGGCUC